rnacentral:rRNA from 1 species
UGGGGAAUAUUACACAAUGGGCGCAAGCCUGAUGCAGCCAUGCCGCGUGUGUGAAGAAGGCCUUCGGGUUGUAAAGCACUUUCAGCGAGGAGGAAGGGUAGUGUGUUAAUAGCACAUUGCAUUGACGUUACUCGCAGAAGAAGCACCGGCUAACUCCGUGCCAGCAGCCGCGGUAAUACGGAGGGUGCAAGCGUUAAUCGGAAUUACUGGGCGUAAAGCGCACGCAGGCGGUUUGUUAAGUCAGAUGUGAAAUCCCCGCGCUUAACGUGGGAACUGCAUUUGAAACUGGCAAGCUAGAGUCUUGUAGAGGGGGGUAGAAUUCCAGGUGUAGCGGUGAAAUGCGUAGAGAUCUGGAGGAAUACCGGUGGCGAAGGCGGCCCCCUGGACAAAGACUGACGCUCAGGUGCGAAAGCGUGGGGAGCAAACA